GGGGGGGGCGGGGGGGGGGGGUGGGGGGGGCGGGGCGAACGGAGGGGCCCGGCUUUUGUGGGGUGCUCGAGUGGCGAACGGGUGGGUAACACGUGAGUCACCUGCCCUUGACUUUGGGAUAACUUCAGGAAACUGGGGCUAAUACCGGAUAGGAGCUCCGGCUGCAUGGGUGGGGUUGGACAGUUUCGGCGGUUGGGGAUGGACUCGCUGCUUAUCAGCUUGUUGGUGGGGUAGUGGCUUACCAAGGCUUUGACGGGUAGCCGGCCUGAGAGGGUGACCGGCCACAUUGGGACUGAGAUACGGCCCAGACUCCUACGGGAGGCAGCAGUGGGGAAUAGUGCACAAUGGGCGGAAGCCUGAUGCAGCAACGCCGCGUGCGGGAUGACGGCCUUCGGGUUGUAAACCGCUUUCGCCUGUGACGAAGCGUGAGUGACGGUAAUGGGUAAAGAAGCACCGGCUAACUACGUG
rnacentral:rRNA from 1 species